rnacentral:lncRNA from 1 species
CAAGGUACACUUUCAGAAUAUUCUUCUUCCAAUUACCAGCACUAGCUCCUCAGCCAUGUUGCCCCUGAUAUUGAUCAUACAUUGUUUGGGCCGCGGUAAAUCCAAGUCUCUGGCUCGUCCUUGCCAUGCUUCUUAAGCUCAAGUCUCGGUGCAGAUUUUCAUAGCUUGGUAACUUCUGUUAGAAGACAGAGUUAUGCUGGCCUGGGCAGUUACUGCAGGGCAAAUUUUGAAAAGAAAAAAAAACAGAGGAACACCUGCGAUUACUGAGAGGGUGCUUGGAUCCAAGGGACUAAAACUAGUCUCUUUAAGAGGCUAAAGUUCCAAGCAGACUAAAGAGAGGCUAAAACUAAUCUUGAGGCUAAAAUCUUUUAGUCAAGGGUACCCCUACUAAAAUGUGCAUUAGUCCUCUCUCUCUUCAUUUAACUCCUCAUGCAAGUUCUUGAUUGAAGGUUUGGAGGAUAAUAAAUGUUCAUUAACUUGAUUUUAGUCUCUUUAGUAUUUGGAUCUAAGCAUGGGUGAGGCUAGCAAGUUUUAGUGUCAUNNNNN